rnacentral:lncRNA from 1 species
GUCAAAUUGGGCAUAGCACCCAUUUCAAUCGCCAGAGCCCGCACUAUUUACCAUGCAUUGUUCUUGCAGGGCUAAGCUGUGACCCUUUACUUCAUUGACAGAUGGCCUCUUCACCUGGCAGAUGAAACUGAGGAUGGGCAUCUUUUGUUCUGGUGAUGUCAUUGCUGUCUCAGACAGAGCGCCUUUUGGCUAAGGUUGGCCCAGCUGUGCUAAGCAAGUGACCAACAGGCAAACAGCAAAUCCCACCUUCCUGGAGGUCCACAAAGACGAGCUAGAACCGCCGUGCCUUAAAGAGUUUUCUAGAGAGCCAAAGGGGAGACAGAACCAGUGCUCAAGGCAUAACUGGCUCCACAUUUUGUGACAAGGACUCAAGUGAGUCAGGAGUUCGGAGAAGGAGGGAAAUCAGUGUGUGCUGGACUCUGGAGGUGAGAAGACUUGAGCUAGGCCCUGGAGUCCCAGGAAGACUUGGAACACACAAUGGGAGCAGGAACCCCCUCAAUGAAGAAUGCCAACUCUUAAGAGCAGAGGAAAAGAAUGGAAUGCCGAGACAGGAGCUGGCUGUUCUUGUGUGGGAGACUGAUG